ACGGAAGGCAGCAGUGGGGGAUAUUGCACAAUGGGGGAAACCCUGAUGCAGCGACGCCGCGUGAGCGAAGAAGUAUUUCGGUAUGUAAAGCUCUAUCAGCAGGGAAGAAAAUGACGGUACCUGACUAAGAAGCUCCGGCUAAAUACGUGCCAGCAGCCGCGGUAAUACGUAUGGAGCAAGCGUUAUCCGGAUUUACUGGGUGUAAAGGGAGCGUAGACGGUUUGCCAAGUCUGAUGUGAAAGGUGGGGGCUCCACCCCCAAACUGCAUUGGAAACUGGUAGACUAGAGUGUCGGAGAGGUAAGUGGAAUUCCUAGUGUAGCGGUGAAAUGCGUAGAUAUUAGGAGGAACACCAGUGGCGAAGGCGGCUUACUGGACGAUAACUGACGUUGAGGCUCGAAAGCGUGGGGAGCAAACAGGAUUAGAUACCCUGGUA
rnacentral:rRNA from 1 species